UGGAUAACAACGCUCUUUUCUGAUACACCCAGAGAAAAAUGUCUGCUUUAAGAUUUGUUUGACCCCUCAUAAGAGAACAUUUAUGUUCCAGGUACUGUACAUAGGGUUUGGAGAGUCAGCAGCUGUCUCCAGGUAAACAUUCCCAGAUCUUGGCAUAAAGAUAGCUGGUGAGUUAGACGUUUUGUGGGUUUUUUGCUUCAGAGAAUGUUCUGAGAUCAGGGCCUGGGGCACUGUUGUUGGUUGUUAACAGCCCAUGACAAAAAACUAUGCCAAGGCUAACUUACACCUUACUAAAAAAAAU
rnacentral:lncRNA from 1 species